GAGAGAGGAAGAACACCUUCUUUUUUCCUUUUAUGAAAGUAACCAGAAUCUCAUUUAAUAAAUAACAAGACAGAUGAGAAGUCCCAAGCCUGCGCGUGAGGAACUGCAGAAACCCGCCGCCUCUGUCACUGCUGACGUCACCCUCCACAGGGCUGGGAGGUGCCAGGUUAGCGGCACUCCUGCUUGGAAUUCUGCUCACUGGACAUGACAGCCCAGGAGAAGGUGACUGGGAGCCCAUGAGGACAAAUGGGACACAAUGCAGAAGCCUGUCUUGAGAACUUCCAGCUGGUUUGCAUUUCCUCAUGGGAUAGGAGCCCUCUCUUGUAGGCUGGGAAGGCAGUGGGACCACCACAUGAUUUUAUGGAUCCAUUUUCACUUUUCCAGAUGCAGAGAGGAGCCAUAAUUACCUUGCAUACGUUUUGAUAACGUCCCUUGGGCAAGAGUUGUGGUUAAGAACACCAUGACCCUCAGAAAUUCGGGAAAGAUGUGCACUUGGCCGAUGCCUGUGGCACAGUCUGGCUCUCAGCCUUCUGUUCCGCAGUUCCUGAGGCCUGGGACUAUGAAAGUGCCCCGUUGACCACAGGAUUCCAGGGUCCACCUAUUGUCACCAGAGACAAACCUCCAAGAGCAGCGUGUUUGAUCCCGAGCCUGGAUCCCAUCUGGGCAGAGGAGAGGGAAUCCCCUGAGCAAAUAAAUAGACACCAAGAGAGUCCCAGCAGGACAGAGGCAAGUGGGUAGAAGAGACAUCCCUGGCCGUGAGAAUAUGGCAACAAGAGAUCCCAAGACAUAACAAAGGCACCAAUUUGACUUCUUUUCUGGAUGCACAUGGUACCUUUACUUCCCUCUAAACCUGGGGCAGUGCUAGAGGUAUUAGUUUCUUGAAACGUUUGCAAGUCCUUGCAACGGACUGCUGCCAUUUGCACUGAGGUAUGUAGACGGGACAUACCUCAAAUGGAAGGUUGCUGACUGAGUUCUAGUCCCAAGGGCUCACAUUCCAUCUUACGGAUUACUCUAUCCAGCUUUCAAGUUCAAGUUGAGCUCUGGACAGCUGUUGGUUCUUUGAUGCUCAUAUCCCCAGAGGCCAAUCUUUCAGUUGACUGCUUGUUCCAGAGCCAUGUGCCAUGCACUCCAGGAGUGAUGUAGGAAGUCCUAGCCCUGGUCUCCUUCGGCACUGGUGUCAAAAGCUGAGGGCGAAGACAGGCAGAGAUAUGGGUUGAUUUGUUCUUUUAAUGCGGUUUUUCUUUUCAGAUCAAGUGAAACAGUAUUAUGUAAUUCUUAGUAGACUUUAUAAAUGUUUGUUGGUCAUCUACCAUGCAUCAGGCUGAGACUCAAAGUUUAAUAAUACACAGAGCAGCCAUCAAGGAAUUUAUACUUGGUGUAUAUUUCUCUCCCUUCACUAGACUCAGCUUGUGAAGUAUGGCAUAAUUCUUAGUUACCUUCUGAUCUCUGCCAUCUAGCACGGAGCCUGGCCCAUAUGUUGAAACGAUAUGCAAAGAGCAGUUCGCCUUGCUAUUUUCCUUUCUUGUUGUCUAACAUCCUUGCCUUAUAUAGGUCAACCAAUGGAUUUCCUCCCAUCAACAUACCAGAAUAUCUUUCUCUCAAGAUGCUUAUUUCCUAUUGCACCUCUUACAAUGACUGUGAGGAGAAACAAACUUUUUCCCUUUAUGGCAAGGGUGACUUCCCACUAGUAUGUACAACGCCCCAUAAAGGCAGACCUGUUUUUAUCCUUUUGUUCACUGCUGUUUCGCCAGCACCAAAAAUACUGUCUGGGACAUCAUAAGUACAUGUUAGCUUAUUUGUAAUUAUUUGUUGGAUGAAUAUGUAAACUUAAAAGGACAAAAGACCUUAACAUAUUAGACAGGUUCAGUUAAGCUAUGCGGCAGUAACAAGUAAAUCUGGAAAUUUCAGGGGUUGAACAAAGAGGUUUGUUUCUCUUUUCUGCAGAGUUGGCCAUGGGUCCUUCAGCCUUCUGGAUCGGCCCCUUUCCUGGUGGUAAUGCC